UACAGAGGUCUCGAGCGUUAGGCGGAAUCACUGGGCUUAAAGCGUGUGUAGGCGGAUCGUUAAGUGGCUUGUGAAAUCCCACGGCUCAACCGUGGAACUGCUUGGCAUACUGGCGGUCUUGAGCAACCUAGGGGCGAGCGGAACAAAUGGUGGAGCGGUGAAAUGCGUAGAUAUCAUGUGGAACGCCAAUGGUGAAAACAGCUCGCUGGGGGUUUGCUGACGCUGAGACACGAAAGCCAGGGGAGCAAACGGG
rnacentral:rRNA from 1 species